GGACCCGCACAAGCAGUGGAGCAUGUGGUUUAAUUCGACGCAACGCGAAGAACCUUACCAGCGUUUGACAUGGGAAGUGCCGGUUACAGAAUGGUAACCUUCAGUUCGGCUGGCUUCCACACAGGUGCUGCAUGGCUGUCGUCAGCUCGUGUCGUGAGAUGUUGGGUUAAGUCCCGCAACGAGCGCAACCCUUAUCGUUAGUUACUAACAGUUCGGCUGAGGACUCUAGCGAAACUGCCGGUGAUAAGCCGGAGGAAGGUGGGGAUGACGUCAAGUCCUCAUGGCCCUUACACGCUGGGCUACACACGUGCUACAAUGGCCGGUACAAAGGGUUGCCAAGCCGCGAGGUGGAGCUAAUCCCAUAAAGCCGGUCGUAGUCCGGAUUGGAGUCUGAAACUCGACUCCAUG
rnacentral:rRNA from 1 species